GGCCGAGCAGCACAAGAUUGUGAUGGAGACCGUUCCGGUGCUGAAGGCCCAGGCGGAUAUCUACAAGGCGGACUUCCAGGCUGAGAGGCAGGCCCGGGAGAAUGCAGAGGGAGUACAGCAAACUGAAGGCCAGCUGUCAGGAGUCGGCCAGGAUCGAGGACAUGAGGAAGCGGCAUGUCGAGGUCUCCCAGGCCCCCUUGCCCCCUACCUCUCCUCUCCCCUGGCCCUGCCCAGCCAGAGGAGGAGCCCCCCC
rnacentral:lncRNA from 1 species